UACGAAGGGGGCUAGCGUUGCUCGGAAUUACUGGGCGUAAAGGGAGCGUAGGCGGGUUAGCAAGUUGGAGGUGAAAGCCCAGGGCUCAACCUUGGAAUGGCCGUCAAAACUGAUAGCCUAGAGUAUGAUAGAGGUAAGUGGAACUCCGAGUGUAGAGGUGAAAUUCGUAGAUAUUCGGAAGAACACCAGUUGCGAAGGCGACUUACUGGAUCAUGACUGACGCUGAGGCUCGAAAGCGUGGGGAGCAAACAGG
rnacentral:rRNA from 1 species